rnacentral:rRNA from 1 species
AUUGAACGCUGGCGGCAGGCCUAACACAUGCAAGUCGCGCGAGCGGCGGACGGGUGAGUACUGUCUGGGAAACUGCCUGUUGGAGGGGGAUAACUACUGGAAACGGUAGCUAAUACCGCAUACCAUCAGAUGUGCCCAGAUGGGAUGAGCUAGUAGUGGGGGGAACGGCUCACCUAGGCGACGAUCCCUAGCUGGUCUGAGAGGAUGACCAGCCACACUGGAACUGAGACACGGUCCAGAUUCCUACGGGAGGCAACAGUGGGGAAUAUUGCACAAUGGGCGCAAGCCUGAUGCAGCCACGCCGCGUGUGUGAAGAAGGCCUUCGGGUUGUAAAGCACUUUCAUUGGGGAGGCGUUACCCGCACAAGAAGCACCGGCUAACUCCGUGCCAGCAGCCGCGGUAAUUC